ACGCUGGCGGCAGGCCUAACACAUGCAAGUCGAGCGGUAGAGAGAAGCUUGCUUCUCUUGAGAGCGGCGGACGGGUGAGUAAUGCCUAGGAAUCUGCCUGGUAGUGGGGGAUAACGCUCGGAAACGGACGCUAAUACCGCAUACGUCCUACGGGAGAAAGCAGGGGACCUUCGGGCCUUGCGCUAUCAGAUGAGCCUAGGUCGGAUUAGCUAGUUGGUGAGGUAAUGGCUCACCAAGGCGACGAUCCGUAACUGGUCUGAGAGGAUGAUCAGUCACACUGGAACUGAGACACGGUCCAGGCUCCUACGGGAGGCAGCAGUGGGGAAUAUUGGACAAUGGGCGAAAGCCUGAUCCAGCCAUGCCGCGUGUGUGAAGAAGGUCUUCGGAUUGUAAAGCACUUUAAGUUGGGAGGAAGGGCAGUAAAUUAAUACUUUGCUGUUUUGACGUUACCGACAGAAUAAGCACCGGCUAACUCUGUGCCAGCAGCCGCGGUAAUACAGAGGGUGCAAGCGUUAAUCGGAAUUACUGGGCGUAAAGCGCGCGUAGGUGGUUUGUUAAGCUGGAUGUGAAAUCCCCGGGCUCAACCUGGGAACUGCAUUCAAAACUGACUGACUAGAGUAUGGUAGAGGGUGGUGGAAUUUCCUGUGUAGCGGUGAAAUGCGUAGAUAUAGGAAGGAACACCAGUGGCGAAGGCGACCACCUGGACUGAUACUGACACUGAGGUGCGAAAGCGUGGGGAGCAAAC
rnacentral:rRNA from 1 species